CUUAAGAAAAAUGAUUGAGAAAAAAUUGACCUUCUUCAGCCUAAUGUAAAAAAUAAGUAAUGCAAAUUGACCUAAAAAGUCACCUUGAUAUAAAUUUAUUCUAUUCCUAUCUUGUCCUAUGCAUAAAUGCUACUUCCCGCCAAUGAAAGUGUGUUUGAAUGUAUUUCCAAUAUGGCUCAAGCAAAUGAUUCUGCCAUUUCUAUGCAGGAUGAACUUGAACAAUUUGAUAUUAAUUUUUCUCAAGUCUUGUGAGGCAAGCAAGAGUAUCAAUUGGGAAGACGUAAAGUUAUUGAUAUUUAUGACCGUAUGUCUAUAUAUUUGACAACUUCAGCAGUUAUCAACUUCUGAUCUUCAGUUUUAAGGUUUUUCUUGUGCUAAUUUUAUGUAAUAGAAAUUGAAGUAUCAAUUCUAUUUAUGAGAGGUUGAUACUGCUUUUGUCUAGGAUUAGAUGGACUCACAUCCUUCUAUGGCUUCUAGGGAUAAUGUUACCUUGCUUAAAAUAGGCUUCUUCUUUGGAAAAUUGCCAUUGCUUAAAGCACAUGAUGUGAAACAUUGAAAUUCUUGGCCAUAAUAUUGUGGAUGAAAAUUAGAAGUUGCACUAAAUGCUUAAUAUUUGAAUUCACCUAAUAGUUAUGUCAAUUGAUAAAUUUACUAGAAAAAUCUAACAGGGUCGAAAUUUAGAGUGCUUUAUUGUCACAUAGUUUAGUUUUACUACAGAUUCUUGCAUUUAGUAUCUGUAGUGUCAUUAACGUAUAAAUAUUAUGAUGCUUCAAAUGUAUAGAAUUGACACCUUCAAGAGGCAUCUUCCUUUCUUGGGAGAGGAGGGAAUACAUAAACAUAUAUAAAAGCGGUAAGGAGGUUUGAGGAGAACUUAUAUAGUUGUAAUAAGUUGGGUGUUUCUCUCACACAAGCUUUUUUUGCUUUAUACUGUGCGCAAUUUGAAUUAUACGUUUCAUACAAUAGUUUAUCUCUUACUAAAACUAAAUUCGGUGGUGUUUUGAAUUGAUGUUAGGUCCAAGCACCAGGAAUGUUUAUAGAUUAGUUGAGAAAGAUAUCUUUGGAGAUGCUGAAAUUAGAGAGAGAAAGCAGAUCCCUACAACCAAUUCUUAUCGGUUUAAUGCUACUAAAACAGCCAAAAUCCUUAACAUUCAGGUAAUGGAGAUCAUUUCAUUUUUAUGUACCGAUAACAAAUGUGGUUCUCUUGUGCUUUCGAACAAUUAAACAGUAUUUUGGUUAUCCUUGAUGAAGCUGCUAUAGCUGCGGUUAUGAAUGCUGACGAUUGGAAAGCAUAGCUAUGAGGCAAUUUCAGACAGAGGAUAACAAAUGGGAUGUAUUUGUUACCUUAAUUGUUAUAAAUUUGACCGUUAUUACAAAAACAUUGCUGCCAGCAAAUUAUUGUCAGUUCAUGUUGACUUGCUAGAAAUUUUUGAAUGUAUAUGACGUGAUACACACCCAUGAUGCCUUUAAGAUAAAUUCACUAAUAAAUAAUUAAGCUUAUGAGAAAAAGGAUUUUUAUUAUAUGGUGAUAUUUUACAAUGUCAUGCACGUUGAUGAUGCUUUUAGAUAAUCACAAAUCUUAGAUGAUAUUUACAAAUUUUAUAUGCGUAUAUUACAUUUGGUAUGCUAAAAGAAUAAUAGAAUAUUGAUUUGUGAGUACUUGUUACUUUAUCUCAAAAGUGAUUCAGAAUAUUGCCUUGUAUAUUAGCAUGUAUUUGGAUGAUCCUCUGAAGUUUGAAGAUUAAUUUUUUGUUAUUUGAGUUAGAUAUAUCAUCGUACUAAAUAAAAGAGGGAAUCAGGCCUUCAAUGUUCAUUCUUAUGGUUCCCUUUUUCACACCUGAUUUUUUUCUACCAUUCAUAAAUUGGUUCAAACGGGAGUGUAUUAAAUGCUCCCUUACGGAAAUCUUUUCUCACACGCCUCUCUAAUGCUACAAGAUGGAAAGUAGUGCUAACCUUUCCUUUUCCCUUUCCUUGUGGCGGAUUUCCAAAGAGACUCGUGGUCUCCUCAAGAUCUUGGAGAAGAAGCAAUGGAAUCAUUGCAUCAUUCUUUGAUUCGCAAUCGGCUUCUCGGAACAGUUGGAGUUACGACUCUCUCAAGAAUUUCCAUCUAAUUUUCCCUACUGUUUAGACCCAUCUCAAGCAAGUUUAUUUUAUCAAUUCAUGAACAUCUUCUUCAUGAUUCUUGGGAAAGAAUUGAUAGUUUCAUGAUAAGAAUUGAAUAUUUUUUGCCCCCCUUUUACCCCUUUUCAGCUUAAAGUGUAGGAAUAUUAUGGUCUCUCCCUUAUCACUUCCAAACAAAUUGCGUCGAGAAGAAUUCUUAUUUUUUUUUAGGCGGUGUAUGGCGGUGAUUUUUGUUAUAAGAUCAAGCAUGUGCUAGAGCCUUUUAGCUCGGGUGAGCUCUCUUAAGCCGAUUACAUCUAGAUCCACCGAGUCAACAUGAAGAACAAUUCUAGCCUCGAAGGUCUCAUGAAGGUGGCAGAUCUUGUAAUCCUCCAACUCGUUGAUCGAAUUUUUCCUAUAUCGGUUUUGUUAGAUUAUUCAGUUUCUGUGCUUUAUUUUUUAUUUAUUUUCUACUCUACUUGUUCUAUUAAAUUUCUACUAUGAAGGGAUUAAUAUUGAGCAAUUGUAGGUUGCAACGAGAUUGUCUAAGGACGAGAAGUUUCAACAACUUUCCAUGUAGCACUAGCUUGAAGCUGUAAGUCUCUGAACCAUAUAAGUGAUUCUUACAUUUGGGAUUUGCUAUUAUCCAAAUUUUAGCUUCCAUUCAUUCUGAAGUGUAAAGUAUUUUUGCAGUGGACAAACUUAUAAAAAAUGCUUUUAUCAUUGGUUUUACCCACUCUUAGUGAGAAGACAAAUCUGAACCAUCGAUAUAUUUGCUUGAAAAUGGUCUGUGAUAUUAAUUAUCAUUAUUUACUGUAGAUUGAUCCACACCGUAGGUAUUGGCACAAUUUACAUCUCUAUUGCAAUAUCUGGUUCAAAAGAGAGGCUACAACAUUUCUUUUACUGUGAGCACCCAACUAACUAUUUUAGAUUGAUACCUUAUUUGGUUUGACGUUUGGGAAACAAUUAUGGGAGUAGAAACUUAUAACUAUUAGAAAUACAAUCAAAACUUUCUCCUUUUUUUUUUGAUAUUUUAAUGAACAAAAUAUUUCUUACUGACUUGUUCUUGCAACAUUUGUUCUUUAAUGUAAAGGUUGGAUGUUAGAGAUGGAAAAGAACUAAAUUUAGAGAAGUGCUCAGGGGACAAUUUGCAAUGGCAAUGCAUCAAAUAUCUGGGACCAGCAAGUUUCAAGUCAUUGAAGAGCAUUAGCAAUCUCAAGAGUAGACAUUGCACUUGAAUUUAUUUUUUCAAAUAAUGUAAAGUGCUAAACUAAUUAUAGUACAUUAGCUAGCAUUCUCAUGAACACAAAUUAUCAUUCCUCCAGCAGAAAGAGUGAAAUCAUAUGAAGUCGUGGUUGAAAAUGGGAAGCUUGUGUACAAACAGAGUGGUUACACUGUGGACACAAUUGAAGGUUCAAAAUGUAUUGUUCAUCCAAUUGAACCCGUAUAAGAAAGGUAUUUUUGUUUUAUCAAAUUUGAGAUUUUCCGUUUUUCUUUCCCAACAGUAAUGAACUUGAAUUACAAUAAUCAGUAGUCAUCGAUGGUAUUGAAGUUUUUUGAAGUACAUAAAGGAAUCCUAUAUUAUGCAUUAAAUGUUUAAGAAGACACACCACAAAAAAAAAAAAAAAAAAUUUGAAAAAAAGGAAUAAAGAAAAAAGAAAAAAGAGAGAGGUAUAAAUCUAUUUUCUUGGAACGCUAACAUUACCGUAGAAAUAACAACACCCGUGCAUUGCACGGGCAAUAGAUUAGCAUAUAUAUAUAUAUAUAUAUAUAAACCUGAAAACACACAAUAAAAAAAAAAAGGGUGGUCGUGUGUGCAAGAAGAGAAAAAUUGAGGUUGUUGGGAAGAAACUUAAUCUGUGGCUGCUUUUGGCUUGGAAAAAAGAGAGAUAAGAAAACCAAGCUGCUGAAAGAAGGAAAAAUAAUUGAAAGGGAAGUUUUCUUUCAAUCUUUUGGGUGUGAAUUCAUACAAGGUUUUUCCUCUCUCAUAAUAUAAAUUGUGAUUUUCUCUAAGGUGUAUUUUGGGUACUUUGUAAGUGUUGUAUUCAAAGUGGGUUCUCACAAGUUUAAUCAAACUGGUGAUUUAUGGUGAGAUAAAUUGUUGUCUUAGAGAUUAAUUAUUGUGGUAUUUCCAAUUUGUUGAGAAUUCAAGUUUUGGGAUAUAAACUUGAAUAUUGUAAUCUAUAUUUUUAUUAUAGUGGAUUUUGGCUCGAAUUGCCCUGUGG
rnacentral:lncRNA from 1 species